CUUCGGGGGGGGGAGCCUUAGAAUGCAGUCGAACGAUGACUUCUGUGCUUGCACAGAAAUGAUUAGUGGCGAACGGGUGAGUAACACGUGAGUACCUGCCCUUGACUUCGGGAUAAGCCUGGGAAACCGGGUCUAAUACCGGAUACGACCUCCUGGCGCAUGCAUGGGGGUGGAAAGCUUUAUGCGGUUUUGGAUGGACUCGCGGCCUAUCAGCUUGUUGGUUGGGGUAAUGGCCCACCAAGGCGACGACGGGUAGCCGGCCUGAGAGGGUGACCGGCCACACUGGAACUGAGACACGGCCCAGACUCCUACGGGAGGCAGCAGUGGGGAAUAUUGCACAAUGGGCGGAAGCCUGAUGCAGCGACGCCNCNUGAGGGAUGACGGCCUUCGGGUUGUAAACCUCUUUCAGCAGGGAAGAAGCGAAAGUGACGGUACCUGCAGAAGAAGCGCCGGCUAACUACGUGCCAGCAGCCGCGGUAAUACGUAGGGNGCAAGCGUUAUCCGGAAUUAUUGGGCGUAAAGAGCUCGUAGGCGGUUUGUCGCGUCUGCUGUGAAAGCCCGGGGCUCAACCCCGGGUCUGCAGUGGGUACGGGCAGACUAGAGUGCAGUAGGGGAGACUGGAAUUCCUGGUGUAGCGGUGAAAUGCGCAGAUAUCAGGAGGAACACCGAUGGCGAAGGCAGGUCUCUGGGCUGUAACUGACGCUGAGGAGCGAAAGCAUGGGGAGCGAACAGGAUUAGAUACCCUGGUAGUCCAUGCCGUAAACGUUGGGCACUAGGUGUGGGGGANAUUCCACGUUUUCCGCGCCGUAGCUAACGCAUUAAGUGCCCCGCCUGGGGAGUACGGCCGCAAGGNUAAAACUCAAAGGAAUUGACGGGGGCCCGCACAAGCGGCGGANCAUGCGGAUUAAUUCGAUGCAACGNGAAGAACCUUACCAAGGCUUGACAUGAACCGGUAAAGCGUAGAAAUACGCUCCCCACUUGNGGCCGGUUUACAGGUGGUGCAUGGUUNUCGNCAGCUCNNGUCGUGAGAUGUUGGGUUAAGUCCCGCAACGAGNGCAACCCUCGUUCUAUGUUGCCAGCGGGUUAUGCCGGGGACUCAUAGGAGACUGCCGGGGUCAACUUGGAGGAAGGUGGGGACGACGUCAAAUCAUCAUGCCCCUUAUGUCUUGGGCUUCACGCAUGCUACAAUGGCCGGUACAAAGGGUUGCGAUACUGUGAGGUGGAGCUAAUCCCAAAAAGCCGGUCUCAGUUCGGAUUGAGGUCUGCAACUCGACCUCAUGAAGUUGGAGUCGCUAGUAAUCGCAGAUCAGCAACGCUGCGGUGAAUACGUUCCCGGGCCUUGUACACACCGCCCGUCAAGUCACGAAAGUUGGUAACACCCGAAGCCGGUGGCCUAACACCUUGUGGAGGAGCCGUCGAAGGGGGCGGAUUUGGA
rnacentral:rRNA from 1 species